GCAUGCCGUCUCUGAGAUGGUUAUGCCAAGCAUCUUAACUGGACGCUUGCUAAGAGGGAGCAUAAUUUUGUAUCAGGCAAGGGGAAGCAUCGCCUUGUCAACACGAUUUCUGCUCCGGCCGGGCUCCUGUGCCUUUCACACGUACCUCUGGCAGGCAGAGUGAAAUUCAUCCCCAUUUCCACGCCAGGAAAAGUUUCACCAGCUAAACAUUUGCCUCUCGGUCAGCUUCUGUAAACGUCUCGUGGAAAGCAACCAAAAAUGGCCCUGGAAUCUCAGCCAAAGAUACCAUUUGUUCGGAUAAGAUGAAUUCAGCCCAUCUACUGCCUGGAUAAAGGAUCCCCGGACUUUUUAUUGCGGUUCUACCAAGACGACAGUUUCUCAUGAUGCUGAAGUUAAAAGCCAAUCUUCAGUUGACUUGAAUGGUUGUGGAUAUCGGCACCUAUUGGUUUGGAGCAAUAAUUAUCGGCCAAUCCCACACCCUUAUCAGGAAAGUCACUUCCUGUGCUUGUUUCUGUUUAGCAGUGUAUUAGCUCUCUAUGUGCUGGAGCAGGGAUUCUCAAUCUGUGGUACUCUAGAUGUUGCUGAACUACAACUCCCAUCAUCCCCAGCUACAAUAAAUUGUC